rnacentral:ncRNA from 2 species
ACAAGCCCGCUUGGAGAGACCCCGCCGCUGGCGGGGCGCCGAAGGCGCAAACCGCCCGGAAACGCUCAGGCAAAAGGACACGCGGGCCGAU